CCUACGGGAGGCAGCAGUGAGGAAUAUUGGUCAAUGGGCGGGAGCCUGAACCAGCCAAGUCGCGUGAGGGAAGACGGUCCUAUGGAUUGUAAACCUCUUUAGGCGGGGAGCAAUGCCGGGCACGCGUGCCCGGAGGGAGAGUACCCGCAGAAUAAGCAUCGGCUAACUCCGUGCCAGCCGCCGCGGUAAUACGGAGGAUGCGAGCGUUAUCCGGAUUUAUUGGGUUUAAGGGGUGCGUAGGCGGAUUUUUAAGUCAGCGGUAAAAUGUCCGGGCUCAACCCGGGCCGGCCGUUGAAACUGGGGAUCUUGAGUGGGCGAGAAGUAUGCGGAAUGCGUGGUGUAGCGGUGAAAUGCAUAGAUAUCACGAAGAACUCCGAUUGCGAAGGCAGCAUACCGGCGCCCGACUGACGCUGAGGCACGAAAGCGUGGGGAUCGAACAGGAUUAGAUACCCUGGUAGUC
rnacentral:rRNA from 1 species